UGGAUGGGUGGGUGGGUGGAUGGAUGGAUGAAUGGAUGGAUGGAUGAUGGAUGGAUGGACAAAGCACCCCAUCUCACUUUCUUAUCUCCCGGUACAGUCCUUGUCCACAUUUCCCCCCUGCUCUUAGAAAACCAGCCAUGCAAGUAUGUUGGUUUUCAGGAAGAUAAAACCACACUGAGACUGUUUGGGGGUUCGUGGUUUUUCUGUGAACAUCUCAAUCAUUACCAAACUCGCUCAGUUUGAUCCA